rnacentral:misc_RNA from 1 species
GCCCAUCCACGCUCGGUUGCCUCAGGGCAAAAAGAUGCGGACAUUGGCCCUCCGAACCGCGAGGUGCGGUGGGCCCAAGUGUGCGGCCGUCGUGUGUGGCCGGGAGCGGCGAGUGGUGGGCUACUGCGCACGUCACCCCGAGCUCCGUACCGACACAGGGCCUUGUUUGACCCCAUAACGAGGAGCAUGCCGUCGCGGCCUGUGCUGCGCGGCGCCUUCGGACC